UACAGGGGGUGCAAGCGUUAUUCGGAUUCAUUGGGCGUAAAGCGCGCGUAGGCGGCUUGCUAAGUUUGGUGUGAAAGCCCAUGACUCAAUCAUGGAAGUGCACCGAAUACUGGCAAGCUAGAGUAUAGGAGGGGAGAGCGGAAUUCCUGGUGUAGAGGUGAAAUUCGUAGAUAUCAGGAGGAACAACGGUGGCGAAGGCGGCUCUCUAGACUAUUACUGACGCUCAGGCGCGAAAGCGUGGGGAGCAAACAGG
rnacentral:rRNA from 1 species